rnacentral:ncRNA from 2 species
CGUGGGGCGCGUGGCGAUUUGUUCACCGGAUUGCGGGCCACGAUAAACAUGCCGCUAAAGAGGUCAGGAGCGGGACGCC